rnacentral:rRNA from 1 species
CUCUUGAGAGCGGCGGACGGGUGAGUAAAGCCUAGGAAUCUGCCUGGUAGUGGGGGAUAACGUUCGGAAACGGACGCUAAUACCGCAUACGUCCUACGGGAGAAAGCAGGGGACCUUCGGGCCUUGCGCUAUCAGAUGAGCCUAGGUCGGAUUAGCUAGUUGGUGAGGUAAUGGCUCACCAAGGCGACGAUCCGUAACUGGUCUGAGAGGAUGAUCAGUCACACUGGAACUGAGACACGGUCCAGACUCCUACGGGAGGCAGCAGUGGGGAAUAUUGGACAAUGGGCGAAAGCCUGAUCCAGCCAUGCCGCGUGUGUGAAGAAGGUCUUCGGAUUGUAAAGCACUUUAAGUUGGGAGGAAGGGCAUUAACCUAAUACGUUAGUGUUUUGACGUUACCGACAGAAUAAGCACCGGCUAACUCUGUGCCAGCAGCCGCGGUAAUACAGAGGGUGCAAGCGUUAAUCGGAAUUACUGGGCGUAAAGCGCGCGUAGGUGGUUUGUUAAGUUGGAUGUGAAAUC